GACGAACGCUGGCGGCGUGCUUAACACAUGCAAGUCGAACGGAAAGGCCCUGCUUUUGUGGGGUGCUCGAGUGGCGAACGGGUGAGUAACACGUGAGUAACCUGCCCUUGACUUUGGGAUAACUUCAGGAAACUGGGGCUAAUACCGGAUAGGAGCUCCUGCUGCAUGGUGGGGGUUGGAAAGUUUCGGCGGUUGGGGAUGGACUCGCGGCUUAUCAGCUUGUUGGUGGGGUAGUGGCUUACCAAGGCUUUGACGGGUAGCCGGCCUGAGAGGGUGACCGGCCACAUGGGGACUAAGAGACGGACCAGACGCCUACGGGAGGCAGCAGUGGGGAAUAUUGCACAAUGGGCGGAAGACUGAUGCAGCAACGCCGCGUGCGGGAUGACGGCCUUCGGGUUGUAAACCGCUUUCGCCUGUGACGAAGCGGGAGUGACGGUAAUGGGUAAAGAAGCACCGGCUAACUACGUG
rnacentral:rRNA from 1 species